UCUUUUGUGCACGUCAGGGGU
ensembl:piRNA 21ur-2192 ncRNA